UACCUUGUUAUGUUAUUCAUCCAUCAUGAGCCUUCUCAUUUUGAUGCUUGAAGGACUACGAUAUAGUUCGACAUGCUGCACGUCUGAUGUAAUAUUAACUCUCGUGCAAUACUUCACUUCAUAAGAAAUGUCCCUUGAAAAGAAACACAGUGCAGUUCCGCAUUCUGCUUUUUCAGAAAUAGAUCUUGAGGGUGUCAUUGAACCAGACACGGACGAGCCACAGGAAAUGGGAGAUCCGGAUAAUGUUGAGGUGACGGAAGAGAUGAUGGACAUGGCCAAU